CAACCCCUUAUGCCUGGUGACCAUAGCGAGUUGGAACCACCCCUUCCCAUCCCGAACAGGACCGUGAAACAACUCCGCGCCGAUGAUAGUGCGGACUACCCGUGUGAAAGUAGGUCAUCGCCAGGC
rnacentral:rRNA from 1 species